rnacentral:rRNA from 1 species
UACGGAGGAUGCAAGCGUUAUCUGGAUUUAUUGGGUUUAAAGGGUGCGCAGGUUGUUUGAUAAGUCAGUGGUGAAAGUCUGUCGCUUAACGGUAGGAUUGCCAUUGAUACUGUUAGACUUGAAUAUGGAUGAGGUAGGCGGAAUGUGUAGUGUAGCGGUGAAAUGCAUAGAUAUUACACAGAACACCGAUUGCGAAGGCAGCUUACUAAUCCAUCAUUGACGCUGAGGCACGAAAGCGUGGGGAUCAAA